rnacentral:rRNA from 1 species
CUUCGGAAUGAAGAUGUAGGCGCGAGUGGCGGACGGGUGAGUAACGCGUGAGUAAUCUGCCUCAUACAGGAGAAUAACACUAAGAAAUUGGUGCUAAUACUCCAUAAGCUCACAUUAUGACAUCAUAGAGUGAGAAAAGAUUUAUCGGUAUGAGAGGAGCUCGCGUCUGAUUAGCUAGUUGGUGGGGUAACGGCCUACCAAGGCGACGAUCAGUAGCCGACCUGAGAGGGUGAUCGGCCACAUUGGAACUGAGACACGGUCCAAACUCCUACGGGAGGCAGCAGUGGGGAAUAUUGCACAAUGGGGGAAACCCUGAUGCAGCAACGCCGCGUGAAGGAAGAAGUAUUUCGGUAUGUAAACUUCUAUCGACAGGGAAGAAACAAAUGACGGUACCUGAAUAAGAAGCACCGGCUAAAUACGUGCCAGCAGCCGCGGUAAUACGUAUGGUGCAAGCGUUAUCCGGAUUUACUGGGUGUAAAGGGUGAGUAGGCGGUCAUGCAAGUCAUAUGUGAAAUGUCAGGGCUUAACCUUGGCGCUGCAUAAGAAACUGUAUGACUAGAGUGCAGGAGAGGUAAGCGGAAUUCCUAGUGUAGCGGUGAAAUGCGUAGAUAUUAGGAAGAACACCGGUGGCGAAGGCGGCUUACUGGACUGUUACUGACGCUGAGUCACGAAAGCGUGGGGAGCAAACAGGAUUAGAUACCCUGGUAGUCCACGCCGUAAACGAUGAGUGCUAGGUGUUGGCCAGAGAUGGUCGGUGCCGCAGCAAACGCAAUAAGCACUCCACCUGGGGAGUACGACCGCAAGG